rnacentral:rRNA from 1 species
UACGUAGGGUGCAAGCGUUAAUCGGAAUUACUGGGCGUAAAGCGUGCGCAGGCGGUUAUGUAAGACAGAUGUGAAAUGCCCGGGCUUAACCUGGGAACUGCAUUGGUGACUGGCGGGCUAGAGUAUGGCAGAGGGGGUAGAAUUCCACGUGUAGCAGUGAAAUGCGUAGAUAUCGGGAGGAACACCAGUGGCGAAAGCGGCUACCUGGCCCAUUCUUGACGCGUGA